CAGCCGCCGCGGUAAUACGUAGGGCGCAAGCGUUGUCCGGAAUUAUUGGGCAUAAAGAGCUCGUAGGCGGUCUGUCGCGUCUGGUGUGAAAUCCCGAGGCUCAACCUCGGGCUUGCAUCGGGUACGGGCAGACUAGAGUGCGGUAGGGGAGACUGGAAUUCCUGGUGUAGCGGUGGAAUGCGCAGAUAUCAGGAGGAACACCGAUGGCGAAGGCAGGUCUCUGGGCCGCAACUGACGCUGAGGAGCGAAAGCAUGGGGAGCGAACAGGAUUAGAUACCCUGUAGUCCCUGUCUCUUAUACA
rnacentral:rRNA from 1 species